UUGUCUCAAAGAUUAAGCCAUGCAUGUCUCAGUACAAGCCAAAUUAAGGUGAAACCGCGAAAGGCUCAUUAAAUCAGUUAUGGUUCCUUAGAUCGUACCACACAUUUACUUGGAUAACUGUGGUAAUUCUAGAGCUAAUACAUGCAAACAGAACUCUGACCGGAGACGGAAGGAGUGCUUUUAUUAGAUCAAAACCAAUCGGUGGCGGUUUUACCGUCAUCGUACUAUUUGGUGACUCUGAAUAACUUUAUGCUGAUCGCACGGUCUUGCACCGGCGACGCAUCUUUCAAAUGUCUGCCUUAUCAACUGUCGAUGGUAGGUUCUGCGCCUACCAUGGUUGUAACGGGUAACGGGGAAUCAGGGUUCGAUUCCGGAGAGGGAGCCUGAGAAACGGCUACCACAUCCAAGGAAGGCAGCAGGCGCGCAAAUUACCCACUCCCGGCACGGGGAGGUAGUGACGAAAAAUAACGAUACGGGACUCAUCCGAGGCCCCGUAAUCGGAAUGAGUACACUCUAAACCCUUUAACAAGGAUCAAUUGGAGGGCAAGUCUGGUGCCAGCAGCCGCGGUAAUUCCAGCUCCAAUAGCGUAUAUUAAAGUUGUUGCGGUUAAAAAGCUCGUAGUCGAAUCUGUGUUCCGCGCCGCCGGUUCAUCGUUCGCGGUGUUAACUGGCGUGUCGUGGAACGUCCUGCCGGUGGGCUUAGCCUGCAAGGGCGGCCCAAAUUUUCUCGCCGCGGUGCUCUUCAUUGAGUGUCGAGGUGGGCCGGCACGUUUACUUUGAACAAAUUAGAGUGCUUAAAGCAGGCUAAAACUUUGCCUGAAUAUUAUGUGCAUGGAAUAAUGGAAUAGGACCUCGGUUCUAUUUUGUUGGUUUUCGGAACCCCGAGGUAAUGAUUAAUAGGAACGGAUGGGGGCAUUCGUAUUGCGACGUUAGAGGUGAAAUUCUUGGAUCGUCGCAAGACG
rnacentral:rRNA from 1 species